rnacentral:rRNA from 1 species
AGUGAACGCUGGCGGCAGGCCUAACACAUGCAAGUCGAACGGCAGCACAGGAGAGCUUGCUCUCUGGGUGGCGAGUGGCGGACGGGUGAGGAAUGCGUCGGAAUCUGCCUAUUUGUGGGGGAUAACGUAGGGAAACUUACGCUAAUACCGCAUACGACCUACGGGUGAAAGUGGGGGACCGCAAGGCCUCACGCAGAUAGAUGAGCCGACGCCGGAUUAGCUAGUUGGCGGGGUAAAGGCCCACCAAGGCGACGAUCCGUAGCUGGUCUGAGAGGAUGAUCAGCCACACUGGAACUGAGACACGGUCCAGACUCCUACGGGAGGCAGCAGUGGGGAAUAUUGGACAAUGGGCGCAAGCCUGAUCCAGCCAUGCCGCGUGUGUGAAGAAGGCCUUCGGGUUGUAAAGCACUUUUGUCCGGAGAGAAAAGCAUUCGGCUAAUAACCGGGUGUUAUGACGGUACCGGAAGAAUAAGCACCGGCUAACUUCGUGCCAGCCGCCGCAGUAAAAC